UUUCCUCGUAGCCGGCGCCUGAGGGACUGACUGACUCAGACUGCCGCCGACCUUCACAGGGGAUGAAGCUGAGACCUCGCCCCAGCCUGCGAGGCUUUGUAAACCUACUUCGGUUACGGAAGGACGCGUGUCAACGCGCCCACGCUGUGCUGUGUUUGUCAAAGUGAUCUCUGAAACACUCGCAUCAAAUCCACUUGAGGAGGUUGUCGGAAAGGCAGAUCGCUGGGCCUUGCAGCAGGAUGCCUCUUGAUGCCCUGUGUUCCUCUCAUCAUUACAUUUUGAAAAUAGGCGGGAUACAGGAAAGCCGAGAAGAACUUGGGCAGGGGCUUAGUUCUGCUGGAAUCUAAAUUCUCAGCGUUUGGUGUUGCCGGGACCUGGACCAACAGAGCUGACACAAAUUACUGAGACAGCACCUCAGAAGUUCUGUGCUUGUUGAUAUCCCAAAGAUUGAGGAAGCAGAGACUCAAGCAAUCUUGUUAAUUGGGCGCAUUGAGUCAUGGCCAAUUAACUAUGGGUUAAUCUGCCUUGCGAAGCAAAUGUGGCUUUGUAUUUACAUCGCUCCAGCCAUCUCAUGACAUGUGCAGAAUAAUAUCUAUAUCAUGUUGCAAAUAUGGCAAUCAAGACAAAGAGAGUGCCAGAGAUUGUGUGUGCUUAUUCUUCUCACUGUGGGACGGCAGCCCUCUGGAUCAGCCCCGUUAGAGUGUUACUGCUAGAGAGAUCCUGCUCAGCCAAGUCAUGACCUGUGAUGGAAGCCUGUGGCCAGCGGCUAAUGGACGGUAUGAAGGCUGGGACCUCUUGCCCUGGAGGUAAACCACCUCUGAAGGUUCAUCCCAUCUUCAGAACUCCUCACAGAAGCAGCUGAGACUUUAUUUGAGAUUACAUCACAGUCUGACUUCCUUUCCUUCCCUUCUGUAGAUGUUGGCGACAAAGUAACAAUCUAAUUAACUUCCUACACGUUCACUUCCCUGGCGCUGUGCUUUGCUGGUACACAACCUCCCCAAUUCUACAUUUCAGCUAUCCUUGACCGACCCAAAGUUUUCUUCCAUUCAGAUCUUUCUCCCAACAGUUCCCUGUCAUGAGAGCCCCAGAAAGUGAACGAUCUAGGAAGAUAAUUGAGAAAGGGGUACAGACCUAACAGGAAAAGGGCAAUAUUGAGUACAGGGGCUAGAGAUUGAGCUAAGGGGAGUGGGCUUGGAGAUAAGGCUCCAGAACCACAUCUUCUAACAAGUCCCACACUCAUACUGCUAGAACUGAUCCUCUAACUAAGGUCAGGAUUAGUCUCAAUGUCUGGGGAGCCAGCAAGGGUUAAGGGUGAAGUAGGAGAUGUGAGGCAGAAGAAUGAUUUGGAGCCUAGAGGUCUGGUCAGAUACAGAGUCAGGAAACUAGGCAAGUUAUGCUACUUUCACACACACACACACACACACACACACACUCACAUACACAACUGUAUUUGGGAAAAGAACUGAGCUUUUGAAGCAACAUACUCAUGGAUUAGCUCCCCUUUUCAAGGCAUUACUCUGCAAAAUCAAGGACUAUCUUUCUUAUUAAAAACUCCCUGACAGAUUUCAUGGAUUCAUUCACCUAACAUACAUCAUAUAUAAGAAACAAAUCUUCAGGAAACAAUGAAAACAACACAUACAUAGGCCAUUUGUAUUUAUGAGCACAGGAAAGAAGUAUCUGGCAGUAGCAGGAAACAAGAAGAGGGUCCAGAAGAGG